rnacentral:rRNA from 1 species
CUACGGGUUGCACCAGUGGGGAAUAUUGCACAAUGGAGGAAACUCUGAUGCAGCAACGCCGCGUGGAGGAUGACACAUUUCGGUGCGUAAACUCCUUUUAUGAGUCAAGAUAAUGACGGUAGCUCAUGAAUAAGCGCCGGCUAACUCCGUGCCAGCAGCCGCGGUAAUACGGAGGGCGCAAGCGUUACUCGGAAUCACUGGGCGUAAAGAGCGUGUAGGCGGGUAGAUAAGUUUGAAGUGAAAUCCAAUGGCUUAACCAUUGAACUGCUUUGAAAACUGUCUACCUAGAAUAUGGGAGAGGUAGAUGGAAUUUCUGGUGUAGGGGUAAAAUCCGUAGAGAUCAGAAGGAAUACCGAUUGCGAAGGCGAUCUACUGGAACAUUAUUGACGCUGAGACGCGAAAGCGUGGGGAGCAAACAGGAUUAGAUACCCCGGUAGUC